rnacentral:rRNA from 1 species
UCGCGAAACCUCCGCAAUACACGAAAGUGUGACGGGGUUACCCAAAGUGUUCAAUUUUGAACUGUGGUAGGUGAGUAAUGUUCCCUACUAGAAAGGAGAGGGCAAGGCUGGUGCCAGCCGCCGCGGUAAAACCAGCUCUCCAAGUGGUCGGGAUAAUUAUUGGGCUUAAAGUGUCCGUAGCCGGUUUGGUAAGUUCCUGGUAAAAUCGGGUAGCUUAACUAUCUAUAUGCUAGGAAUACUACUAUACUAGAGGGCGGGAGAGGUCUGAGGUACUGCAGGGGUAGGG